rnacentral:rRNA from 1 species
GACGAACGCUGGCGGCGUGCUUAACACAUGCAAGUCGAACGAAGUGGCGAACGGGUGAGUAACGAGUAAUCAACCUGCCCUUCAGAGGGGGACAACAGGUGGAAACGACUGCUAAUACAGCAUACUCAUGUAUGGGCUUGCGGUUGAUUCGCUAGGUGGAGGGGUAACGGCCCACCAAGGCGAUGAUCAGUAGCCGGGCUGAGAGGAUGAACGGCCACAUUGGGACGUAGACACGGCCCAGACUCCUACGGGAGGCAGUAGUGGGGAAUCUUCCGCAAUGGACGAAAGUCUGACGGAGCAACGCCGCGUGAGUGAUGACGGCCUUCGGGUUGUAAAGCUCUUUUAAUCGGGACGCGGUACCGGAAGAGAAAGCCACGGCUAACUACGUGCCAGCAGCCGCGGUAAUAG